UACGAAGGGGGGCUAGCGUUGCUCGGAUUUACUGGGCGUAAAGGGCGCGUAGGCGGACAGUUUAGUCAGAGGUGAAAGCCCAGGGCUCAACCUUGGAAUUGCCUUUGAUACUGGCUGUCUUGAGUACGGGAGAGGUGAGUGGAACUCCGAGUGUAGAGGUGAAAUUCGUAGAUAUUCGGAAGAACACCAGUGGCGAAGGCGACUCACUGGCCCGUUACUGACGCUGAGGCGCGAAAAGCGUGGGGGAGCAAACAGG
rnacentral:rRNA from 1 species